rnacentral:tRNA from 1 species
GGUGGCUUAGUGGUAAAGUGCUUGCCUUGCAUGUAUGAGGGUCUGUGUUCAAUUUCUCAGCACCA